CCUACGGGAGGCAGCAGUGGGGAAUCUUGCGCAAUGGGCGAAAGCCUAACGCAGCCAUGCCGCGUGAAUGCUGAAGGUCUUAGGAUUGUAAAAUUCUUUCACCGGGGACGAUAAUGACGGUACCCGGAGAAGAAGCUCCGGCUAACUUCGUGCCAGCAGCCGCGGUAA
rnacentral:rRNA from 1 species